GCCUUUGCUAGUUGGCGGGGUUUAGCCUCUAGCCUUUGCUAGUUGGCGGGGUGAAGCCUCUAGCCUUUGCUAGUUGGCGGGGAGAAUGGAAAUCACCGCUAUCUUGUGAUAGCUUCGGGUUAAUCUUAUUUCUAACCUAAUUUUAAGUCUUAACUUGCAUGCAAUUUACUUUAUAGGUGACACUAUCCUAUCGGUAGAGGAAGUGCACAAGUUAUUUUGCAUCAAAGAGGGUGUAUCACCCUUGGAGAUGCUGGGAAGUGGAGAUAUUCUUGAGAAAUUCAAGAGUUCUCUACUACUCUACUCUACUGAGUAUCUUUGAGAGUGAGAAACUCUCAUAGAUACUGUAGAGUACAACAUUCACUCCUGGCGGUCCUUAGUUUACUGAUAAGUUCAAUCUAUGAUUUGGCAACUAUUUAUCUACAUUUUGUUGAUACUUCAAAAUUAGAGAUAUUCUUGAGAAAUUCAAGGGUUCUCUGAUGAGUAUGAUUGAGAGUAAGAAACUCUUAUUGAUACUGUAUUGUACAAACGUUCACUCCUGUUGAUUCAGGUAUUGCCUUUGUUUAGUCCAAGUUAAGAUUUGUAAAUCUUCAUCAAAAUUAUAUAAAAUUGCUUUGUUUUACAAUUGCGUUACAAGUUUGUUACAGCUUAGCCUACCUCUAGAAUCCAAGUGCACCAUUGUGGAUAUUUCUCAAAAGGAAUGAAGUGAAACUGAACACAAAUCUAUGUAGAUACAUGUGGAUUAUUAUGGAGAUGCCACCAGCUAUUCAAUGCAUUGGAGAGCAGUUCUUCUACCAAAGUGGACAUGUGGAUCACAGGAUGUGUUUGUUACAGCUUAGCCUACCUCUAGAAUCCAAGUGCACCAUUGUGGAUAUUUCUCAAAAGGAAUGAAGUGAAACUGAACACAAAUCUAUGUAGAUACAUGUGGAUUAUUAUGGAGAUGCCACCAGCUAUUCAAUGCAUUGGAGAGCAGUUCUUCUACCAAAGUGGACAUGUGGAUCACAGGAUGUGGUAUGAGAUAUCUGGUACACAUAUAUUCAGUUAUUAAGACAGGAUAGAAUUCUCUAACACUUCCCUAUUCUAACACAGAUAUCAAGCUAGGGCCGGGAUGUUUAAGGUGGUUACUAUUAUGACACAGUUAAUCCUGACCCUUUCGGCAGUGCCUUGUUCUAUCCGGUUGGUUCUGAGUCCAAUGGGUGCUUUCAAGUUAGAGUCAACUGACCUGCAGAUCGCAUUUCCGCGUGCCAACAACUGGACGAACAUGUGCCACUGUUUGAUUGUGGUUUAUGGAUGGCUGUGGAGUAAGACAAUCACCUUGAAUUGGGUUUGAGUUGUCAGGGUCCACGUAGGAUAUUUGCAGUU